AUUGAACGCUGGCGGCAUGCUUUACACAUGCAAGUCGAACGGCAGCGCGGGCUUCGGCCUGGCGGCGAGUGGCGAACGGGUGAGUAAUGCAUCGGAACGUGCCCAGUAUUGGGGGAUAGCCCGGCGAAAGCCGGAUUAAUACCGCAUACGACCUGAGGGUGAAAGCGGGGGACCGAAAGGCCUCGCGCUAUUGGAUGGGCCGAUGUCGGAUUAGCUAGUUGGUGGGGUAAAGGCUUACCAAGGCGACGAUCCGUAGCUGGUCUGAGAGGACGACCAGCCACACUGGGACUGAGACACGGCCCAGAGUCCUACGGGAGGCAGCAGUGGGGAAUUUUGGAAAAUGGGGGGAACCCUGAUCCAGCCGUGCCGCGUGCGGGAAGAAGGGCUUCGGGUUGUAAACCGCUUUUGUUCGGGAAGAAAGCCUCUGGGCUAAUACAAGGGGGGGAUGACGGUACCGGAAGAAUAAGCACCGGCUAACUACGUG
rnacentral:rRNA from 1 species